CCCUAGUGUAGACUAAAGAGUAGUCAAAGUGUUUUCCUGUUUUGAUCAUUGAGACAGAGCAGUGAAUAGGUUAAGAAGGAUCUUUCUGUUUGCACAGUUGGUUGUUGGCUCACAUAACAGACCUGAGGUAGAGACAGGCUCCUACAGUAUGUGUGUAUAUAUGUGUGUGUGUAUGUGUGUGUGUGUGUGUGUGUGUGUGUGUUGUGUGUGAGUGUGUGCGCACAGGUGUGUGUGUGUGUUUGUGUGUGUUGUACGUGAGUGUGUGCGCACAGGUGUGUGUGUGUGUGUUUGUGUGUGUUGUACGUGAGUGUGUGCGCACAGGUGUGUGUGUGU
ensembl:lncRNA